AAAGUCGUAACAAGGUCUCCGUUGGUGAACCAGCGGAGGGAUCAUUACAGAGUUAUCCAACUCCCAAACCCAUGUGAACUUAUCUCUUUGUUGCCUCGGCGCAAGCUACCCGGGACCUCGCGCCCCGGGCGGCCCGCCGGCGGACAAACCAAAACUCUUGUUAUCUUAGUUGAUUAUCUGAGUGUCUUAUUUAAUAAGCCAAAACUUUCAACAACGGAUCUCUUGGUUCUG
rnacentral:misc_RNA from 1 species